GAAGCCCGCCAGACCGCCGCUGGGGCAAUUUGGGAAACCAAGCCCUGGAGGAACGUCCGGACUGCACAGGGCGGCGUAGCAGCUAACGGCUGUCCACCGUGAGGUGAGGAUCAGAGCAACAGAGACGAGCCGAUUCAGUUCGGGUGCAACGGGCAAUCUCUACGCGCAGCAACACCAAGUAGGCACACGUUGACGGGGCCCCCGGAGUGUGCGGGUAGGUGGCAUCGAGCUGGGUGGGCGACCCCCGGCCCAGAGUAAUGGCGGUCACAUGCGGGCAACCGCAUGCACAGAAUCCGGCUUAUCGGUGGGCUUCACAC
rnacentral:RNase_P_RNA from 1 species